rnacentral:lncRNA from 1 species
ACCCACGCUGCACAGAAAGACCAACUGCGCAACCUCCAUCCUCUCCAUCUCUUCUUUUAUUCCUCUUUCUUGUCUUUUUCUUCUUGUAUUUCCAUAUAGAGAGCCAAAUUCCUAUCAAUUGAGAGGCCACUGCCCGGACUUUACUUUUCAACAUGUCUUCUUCACCACGUCAAAAUAACCUCAUUGCAUUUAAAACUCUGCUCCAACUUCUGCUAUUUAUAUGGAUUCUCCUCUACUGCCGCAGCUAAAUGAACCAAACAAAACCCAUAUCUUAUCUCAAAUGAUUCUGGUGCUUGUUCGACCAAAGAUGAUACUCCAAGCUCUGCUUAUGAGUA